AAGGCCUGUGAAGCUCCUGCUCAGCUGCUUACUGCCCCCCGGACCCCGCCGUGACCGCCGGCCCAGAGCCAGGCCCAGCAGAGGGGGCUGUGCUGGCACCGUCAAGACCUGGUAGCAGACCCACAGAGGCCCCGACGUAAACCCAGACCCAAAUGUAAACCCGGGCCUCAGACGUCAACCUCGGCCCUGAGGUGGGCGGAGCUCCGGCCUGGAGAGGCGAUCCCGGUCUGCGGAGGGCGCGCAGAGCGAGGAUGGCGCCGUGGUCUCCAGAAGCGCCUGGCGGCCCCGUGCGUCCGGGGUCCGCCCCUCAACGGCGCCACGACCAGCACCCGGCACUCGCACCGAGACCCUCACGCCGAGACCCGUCUAUGUCCAGGGAGAGAUUCAAGACCUGGGAGAAAUUCUCCUGUUGGCUUUGAAGGAGUGAACCGCCAUUUUGGAGAGAGGCCCACACGUGAGGGAGCAGCAGGUGGUCUCUGUCAGCUGAGUGCCUGAGUCCAACAACUACAAGGGAAUAAAUUACAACAAUGACCACGUGUGCUGAGAAGAGGACCAGAGCCUCCAGCCCGGGCCAGCACUUGUAAUGCAGCCUCGUGAGGCCUGAGCAGAGGACCCAGCUAACCUGUACCUGACCCACAGAAACACAGAGACUCACGCUGCCCAAGUCCCAGGAAAAAGAUGAACUGAGUAAACCUUGUCUGAGAAAGUGGUGGAGCCGCCUUUUCUCUCCCACUCCACUCCUAAUGUUCAAUUACUUUGUGCAGAGAGCCUGCAAUGGGUGCCGUGGGUUCUCAGCCGGGAUCCUCCAGGACCCUCCCUAUCAUUCCUGUGCUCAGCCCUAGCCUCUGUGUUCUGACAUCUGGUUGACUCCACCUGCUUCCUUAGAGCUGCUUUGUCUGCAGAACACAGGGAACGCCUGCAAGUGUGGUCCCUGGGGCAGCCCUUAGCUGUGGCUGGUGCAGGGUUGUAGAAGCCCGAAUCUUUCCUUCAGCUGAGACACUGAGGCAUAGUUUCAAUCCAGUGCAUCCUGCAAGAUUAGACAAAAGCUAUCCCCCAUCGGACGCUGUCUCAGAUUGCUUCCCUCUUCUGCGCUACUCCUCCACUCUCUCCCCGCUUUCUCCUGAAACGCUUGCACUUGAGCUCUGCUCCAGAUAACCUGGCCCAUGACAAGAUUCAUUCCUCAGGGUUGCAGUUUCCUCCAUCAGGAUCACAGAUUAAAGCAAGUCUUCCUUAAAUUUGAGUCUUAGACUUGACAGCUGUGGUUGCUAUUCAUGAUCCAGUCCUCUGGACAAAGCUAACAAAUGGUGGUAUCUAAAUGGAAGAAAGUUCCCCAGAGACAAGAUGUUUGAGCUACAAAUGACGUCAGGAAUCAGUUGUUCCAACUCUCCCGUUUCGUCAGCAAGGCUGCUGAUGUGGAGAUAGUGACUUGCCCAAGACAAGGCACAAUGAAAAGUCACAGUCUUAAAACUCAGGUCUCAGUCUUCUGAAUCUUCAGCCCUUCCUCUCGCUCACUGAAGCUGCUCAUGAACAAGCAGCAGGUCAGAUUCUCGCCGUGCAAAACUCACGACCACAGGGAUGGCUUCAGAAGAGGAUCUUCAGUCCUGACAUUCGUGUUUCGUUACAUGGCUGAAGGGAGCUGUGCAGCGUGGGUCAGCUUUGCUGGACAAAUUCAGACACUGGUGGAGCCUGGAGGCCAGUAAGGAGGAGAGGAAAAGUAACUUUCAGUCUCUGACUAUUACGGCUGAGUUGGAUGCUCUGUUUCAUUGGGGUCACUAGCAUUGUCUGUUAGCUGUGUGGUUUACUCUUAAUAUAAAGAAUAUAUAUAUGUCAUAAUUCCACCUGGAGCCUCCAGAAAGAACCAGCCCUCCUGACACCUUCUUUUAGCUCUAAGACACAGAGAGGGAGGAAGUACUCAUUCUGCUGGUCGCUCGGGGGAAUAAUGAAUGAUCCUGUCACACUGAGUCAGGAAGAUGCAAAUAUAUUCCUGCCAACUAACCGGAAAUGGG
ensembl:lncRNA